rnacentral:rRNA from 1 species
GAUGAACGCUGACAGAAUGCUUAACACAUGCAAGUCAACUGUGGCGGACGGGUGAGUAACGCGUAAAGAACUUGCCUCACAGUUAGGGACAACAUUUGGAAACGAAUGCUAAUACCUGAAACUGUGAGAGAGCUUUGCGUCCGAUUAGCUAGUUGGAGAGGUAAAGGCUCACCAAGGCGAUGAUGGGUAGCCGGCCUGAGAGGGUGGUAGGCCACAAGGGGACUGAGACAACGCCCUUACUCCUACGGGAGGCAGCAGUGGGGAAUAUUUGACAAUGGACCAAAGUCUGAUCCAUCAAUUCUGUGUGCACGAUGAAGUUUUCGGAAUGUAAAGUGCUUUCAGUUGGGAAGCGGUACCAUCAGAAGAAGUGACGGCUAAAUACGUGCCAGCAGCCGCGGUAAUAC